GACGAACGCUGGCGGCGUGCUUAACACAUGCAAGUCGAACGGAAAGGCCCUGCUUUUGUGGGGUGCUCGAGUGGCGAACGGGUGAGUAACACGUGAGUAACCUGCCCUUGACUUUGGGAUAACUUCAGGAAACUGGGGCUAAUACCGGAUAGGAGCUCCUGCUGCAUGGUGUGGGUUGGAAAGUUUCGGCGGUUGGGGAUGGACUCGCGGCUUAUCAGCUUGUUGGUGGGGUAGUGGCUUACCAAGGCUUUGACGGGUAGCCGGCCUGAGAGGGUGACCGGACACAUUGGGACUGCGAUCCGGCCCAGACUCCUACGGGAGGCAGCAGUGGGGAAUAUUGCACAAUGGGCGGAAGCCUGAUGCAGCAACGCCGCGUGCGGGAUGACGGCCUUCGGGUUGUAAACCGCUUUCGCCUGUGACGAAGCGUGAGUGACGGUAAUGGGUAAAGAAGCACCGGCUAACUACGUG
rnacentral:rRNA from 1 species